GUUGGCUAUAAUAAGCUAACCAUCACUAUAUAACCGUAACAAUGUGAAUUAUUGAUGGUAGCUAAAGGCUAUAUGUUGUAUUGUCUUCAUUGGUUUCACUUUUAUUUCUUUAGGAAAAGGAGAUGGCCAAAGGAAAAGCAAAGAUCGACAGCAGUGGUAAAGGAGAUGCUAUAACAUCUAACUUUGAUGUGAUGAACAGAAACAAUAUAAGUGAUUCACACGUGAGAAUAUUAAUGAUAAAGUGAUGCAAUUGUAUAUUAAGUAGAAUUUACCAUUUAGUUUCAAAUGCUGUCUUUCAAAAAAGAAUUAUAAUCAAAUUUCAGUGUACAGUUGCACAUUAAAGUUUAUUUUUUAAAUAACAUCAAUCAAAAAGACUUUGAUGUGCUACAGCUGAACAGAAACAAUAUAUGAUUUGAUAUUUUUUUAAAGACCUAAAUUUAAAACUUUAUUAUCAACUUUAUUGAUAUAAAAUUGCUUCAGUUUAUCACUAAAACACUCAUUUUAAGUGGAAAUUAAUUAAUUUAGUUGGUCCUUAUGUGUCAAGUCAGCUUAGCUCCACCGCAGCCUCGGUCACUCAGGUCAAGGAAGAGGGAAUGUCCAAGUGAUGAAAUCUCAGAGACUGAUGAUGUCCCGGCUACUCUCCAUCAUCAGGGCGGAAACUGAAGUCCACUCUGCUGCCACCACCUCAGAUGGGACCGCCACUGCGUCUGAUUCAGACUGCUCAAAGGGAAAGAGUUGUGAGGCUGAAGAAGUCAUAGUGCCUGGUUCAGAGCAAAACGGGGACACAAAGUUAGAUCCACCACUUGCAGAAGAGGAACACGAGGGACGCACGGCUGAGACUGUGGCUGAAAAACCACUGGAAGAAAUAAAAGACGGGGAAGAUGGGUCAGCAGCAGGAGUAGACCAAAGUCCUGCCAUCACUUUUUACUCUAAUCCGACUCAAAAUGAGGAUACUGAGAGCGGGGAUGCGAUCGAGGCUGCCCUUCUGCAGGUGAAUAGUGUGAGCAGGACAAGUGAGAAGAAGGAAGAGUUGACCCGGGAUGCUGGGGACGGGGAUGGAGCAGAGGCAGCGUCAUCCACACACACCCAGUCAGGAGGAUUCAAUGGUGUGGAGCUCUGCGAGGCUGCAGCGACACCCAGUGGCUCAGAGGGGAAAGACAGAUGUGAGUGUGAUGAUGAGCGCGGUGCUGGUUCUACUGUGAACGCUGAGCCUCCUCAGACCAGGGACACCGCUGACCCGUUCGGAUUUGGGUGCUUGGAUUACGUGUCAGACUCGCAGCUGAACACCAUCGUUCUGAGUGAGGUGGAGAAAGAGGAAGAUCUUGGUUCUCCAGAUCAUGAAGAUGCUACAGACCUGAUCUGUGGACUCGUCAGAGAACUCUCCUCUCUAAAUCGUAAGGUCAUGGCCUCUCACCGAGAGCUGGAGAACCUGCGCCGUAGCAGUAAAAGUUCAAGGAGCUCCAUACGUUGAGGAUCAAGUCCCUGCCAUCCUGAUCUUCACUGUUGCCCCAAUGGUUUGUGGGUAAUUAAAAAACUUGUGUACAAAUGUUUAAAUAUUUCACUCUUGUGUCAUUGACGGCUGGAAUGUUUAAUGUCUUAAGUUUUUCUGGUUCUCCCCAAAUAAAGCUGGGUGUUUAUGAAGUCAGUAAUCUGAGUAUUAUUCUGGAAGUAUUAACCAUCAUUAGUUAAACACCAAGAGGGAAAUGCACCCCAUGUGGCUGGCUCAAAUUCUUGUCAAAUAAAUAAAUGUGUGAUGCAACAAAGAAUACACACACACAGAUGUUGUCAAUUUACAUAUUUAUAACUUCUGACAUGCAAUAAUAUUCACACACACACACACACACAUUUCUUUUCACAGAGUCAGAAGAGCUGAAAUGGCAUUUUAAGAGCCACAGUUACUUAAAAUAAAAUAACACGCCUUGGGAACAGGCAUUUACUCUACACCUCAGAACAGGAACAAGUCACUCAUAUUUCUUAAAAAAUUUAAAAUGCUGACAUGGUCACAUGAUGUUUUCUAUGCUGUGGUAAAGUUAUUACUGAUGACUGACUCUUAGAAAGGGUUGACAGUGUUAUAAUCCUUCAAUGCAUGGACAGGAGAUAUGAAACUGGACAUCAAGUGGCCACGUUUUAAAAGUAUGUAAAAUAAAAAAGGCAUGUUUCUUUGAAUCAUGUCUUUUUCUUUGAAACAUGUCUUUUUUUCCCCCCUCUCCUCCCAAACAUAAUAUCGGGCGGUCGUUCUUGACUUACUCAGAAUCCCAAACUGACGCCGUUAGGCUCGGCCGACAAAAAGACCAGCUGGAAAAUAACUCCAAUCAGCUUUAUAGAAGGCUACACGGCAAACGUGCCAAAGCAUGCAAAUGAAAAACAAACCACAGAUACACGUGCUAAUAAACAAAACCACAUUAAUAAAUGGACGAUUCAGCCUUCUGUGUCUUAUUGCUACCUGCCACCUGUUGGAUCAGCGUCUGCACUUUGCGUACACGGAGCUGUACGCGCUGUCCACCUUCGGACAGAAGCGCUUGGUGUGAGCUUUGGCCCCCGUGGCUCCGCACAGAGGACACACAUACUGCCGCAGAUACGGACACAAAACGUCUCCGGCCUGGUUCUUCAGCCAGUGGGAUCCGCACACAAAGUGGGACUCUCCGUUGUGCUUGCAGAAACUGCAGAACAUACGCUCAGGCGACGCAGGUAACAAUGGCGGCUCCGGGGUUUUCAAAAGAGCGGUUUUCUUGUAGUCUUUUGGUCCCCUGGAGCCCGUCGGUCUUUGCCCUAGCUUCACACCCAGCAUAUCUGGGGCGUCAGUGCGAAAAGGGUCUGUAGCGUACCACAAACCAUCAGUUGGACGCUGAUGAGCCAAAGAGCCCGGGAGCGUAGAGUCACGGGAGGGAUCUAGUGCACAAUCUGCCCCGAGGGCGCCGCUAUGGCUACCUGCGUUAAUGCGCACAGACGUCAGUGCCUCGCACAGACCAUCGGACUCUGAUUGCGGAGCUUUUGAGGCUGACAGGGACUCAGUAGUUGUGUGCCGGGCCAGGAUUUCUCUGAUCGUGUCCGACAGUCCUAUGUAGUCUCUCCAGGGCUGGAAACUGUUGCGGUCUGACUCCAUGAAGCACGGCAGGUGAUUAAAGAGUCCCCAAACCAUGCCGUUCAUUCUAGCUUCUGUCGGCCAAAGGUUUUCGUCUCGUCUGCCAGGCUCCUCUUUCAGUGAGACGAUCGACUUGUUGACUUUGUAAUAGCGACGUGAAGGACAACAGCAGACAAACGGUGCAGAGCGCGUGUAACAAAGUUUUUGAAGUAAUUGGUAAUUGCUUACAAGUGGUGAUCAGAGGCGCCAUACCCCCCCCCCCCCUCCGCGUGCCAGUAGCCAAUCAGGUAAGCUCAUGCACCGUGCGUGCGGGGCCAUGCUAUUCUGCCCCCUCAUGCACAGUUACCUGCCUGUUUGCAAACCAAUAUGUUUUAGGUUUCAGCUUUUUAGGUUGUGUUUCUAAUGUUUUCGUUAAAUGAGCAGUGUGGUGACGUAAAGCUUAA
ensembl:lncRNA